CUCUAGUACAUAAAAGGGUAUAUAUUUUAAGGAAUAUAUAAAUUAAGUAUUAGUAUUAAAGGAACUUUGUCCAUCCAGUAUGGUAAAUAUAUUUAAAAAUGCACUUACUAGUAAAAUUAUAUAAUUUGAAAGUGAGUGCAUUUU
ncrna:unclassified sequences RT-14 RNA